GAGUUUCAGAAAGAGCAGAGGCUUCUUAAAGAGACAGAGGCCUAAUCUCAAAGUGUUAAAUUGCAAAGUCAAUUCUUUUUAAGUCAUGUGUGAUUUAUGCACAAUUUUCAUAACAACUGAAUGUAACAUAGUUAUUUGAUUGUACUAUAAAAAGUCACUAUGUGCCUGGAAAACAUAAUACCGCCCCAUUAACAGGUUGGUGCCGUCCAUCUUUCCAUCCUCCAAUUGGCUUUCUAGUUUCUGAUGAGUGAAUGUCUUCCCACAGCAUGGUGCUGCCUCUCCCGUGUCUCACCAAGGGAAUGGUUUGUUCAAGCCAAUGUGCAGCUUUAGCUUUCCAACACAAAUUAUGCUUGCUUGUAGGCCAGAAAGUUACAUUUUGGGUUUUUUUUCUGACCGGACCACAUCUUCACUGUGUCCCGUCCUCAACCCUGCUCAACAAGGCCCACUGUCCUGCUUGCCCGUAUUUCUCCACUGUCACAACCCAGAGGGGCAUCUGAACCUAUCAAGACAGGGAGUCAUGUAUCCUACAGUAGGGGACCAUCGGCCUUCAUGGCUUGUGGCAAAAAGUAAAAGAAACUUCCUACAGCUUAUGCCACUCUUCCAUGAAAGCUGAAUAAUUCAGAGCUUAUUCAGUCAAAAUAUUGCCCUACUUGAGCUGUGGAUCUGUGAAGCUCCUCUAGAGUUACCAUGAGUCUCUUGGCGCCUUUGAUUAACGCUCUUUUUUAUCCGUUUAGGAUGCCCACAUCUUGCCUCACUUGUGGUUUUGCAAUACUCCACCCUGUUUUUUUAGAAAACGAUUUGAACUCUAUGAGAUCUUCUGGAUCUUAACCCAACUUCAAACGUAUCCACAAGUAUCUACUUGAAUUAUGUGCUUGUGAUUAGGGAUGCACGAUAUUAUUGGCAUGGAUGAUAUUAACUGUAAAAUUCAACAUCAGUCAGUCCACCGAUAUGAUAACUCACGGAUAUAAGUGUUGUUUUUUAUAUGACAAACCAGUGACAACGAUGCCUGCAGCAUAACAUCAUAAAGUAUUAAUGCACGACUGAUGUAUUUUUCACUUGUUGCUUGUGAAAAGGUUGAGUUCAGUUUUGUGAAGAUUUACAAACUUGCACUGUUUGAUCGUUGUCAUUGUCUUAGAGAAAAUGUCAUGAAUACGAGCAUUAUUAAAAAUAAUGCUAGUUGAAAGUGUUACAUCAUAUUAAACCUCCAUUUAGAAUUUGCAUUUGGUAGCAGGCUAAAUUGGCAAAGAUUAUGCAGUAUUUUAAUUACACAGUAGAAAAAGUCAUAUAAUUUCAGUAAGUAAGUAUAGGAAAAAAUAUUGAUAUUGGUAUCAGUUAUCGGCCAACUGAGUUUUAGUAUAUCGGCAUAUCAGAUAUCAACCAAAAAGCCCUAAAUGUGUUCCUUAAUCUUCAUGACGCUGUUCAUAAUCUGAAUAACAUCUGACUGGUUCCACUGGUUUUUAUUUUGGGGCAUCACAGAAAGAACUCUGAAAACAUACAAUCUUCACACAUUUGCUUGAAAAAAUAUACUUUUCCUUCCACUUUACAUCAACGCCCGACUAAAACAAAUAAAUACGCUGACGUCUGUGGCCAUAUGAAAAAGACGCACGAAUUCUUUUGCAAGGCUCUGCUGUCUUUAUUCAGGUAAUAUUUUAAGCUGAACUGGACUGAUGUGACAUGCUGUUAUGCAAAAAGAAAUGGGCAGCCGGCUGGGAGCAAAGCAGAAUCUUGCCCACGGACAGCAAGAGUUACGCUGACAUGUGAGGUUUGGAUUUGAUCAAAUGUUCCUAGCUCUGAAAGGCUGCGACAAAGAAGAAAGGAGGAAUAAGAAACAACGACCACACGUUUCCUCAUAAUAGUUCUCAAACGUUUCUCUUCAGGCCUGUUAAUUCCCUGCGCUGUAUGUAGAAAUUUCAGAUAAGCCAUCCGAGAGAAGCCACAUGUCAGUGAAUUGCAAUUUACUGUAAAUACAAGCGAUGCUUUUUGUCUUAUGUGUCUGUUAAUAUUUGUCUCCAGUGAGUUUUUUUUUUUUUUUUUCCCGUUGCUUUGAGUUGAGUCUUUUUCUUUGUGACACUUGGUAAAUGGAAAAAAAAUAAAUAAAUAAAAGUAAAUAAAACCA